AAAGGCGUCCGGCAGCUUAGAAUUAACCUACCGCCGAGAAUGCAGGUCUCGCACAAAAAAAGGCUGUAUGGAUGAAGAAGGAACAAAAGAAUGGGUGCAAAUGCCUAAACAAGCCCUUUAAGACCAGAGUCAGAACACAAUAUCAGGCUUGGAUGGUGAACGGACUCUUCACUUACACGCGAUCUGUUCAACACAGGCAAGGGCUCCUGCAGGAAGCAACACAAUGGAGAUAUAAUGACUAUGGCUUAAUUCCAAGAAAAGAACCAGAAAUCAUUGAAAGCUAACUUAUUACAGACCAGGAAAGACAAAGCAACUAAAUGGAAAGAAUAAACAGGCCCUAUUAGGUUUCAGUUAGAUUAGUUUUUGAUAAUUGAAACUUCUGAGGACAUUUGAGUUGAGACUAACAAUUCCCACAAAAUCACUAAGAGAUAUAGAUAUAACAAGA